CUUGAGGUUCCGGGGCGAGACUUUGGGGUCCCGAGGGUGGGCCGGGGACCCCGCGGUAGGCGUGCGGGGCUGCGGAAGGGGCAUGGAGCGAUAACCGGAGCUUCGGGGCUAUGAGCAGCGGGCAUAGAGCCCCGUAGUUAUCCCGUCCGGCUCCCUGCAUUCGCUUAGGGCUGGGCCUCGGAAGCAUUUUGCCCUGCCCUCCGGCAACCCCGGGACACCAGCGAUGCAGACUCCUGUCGGUAAACGAAACUUGAUCUUGGACUACACGUCGUGCUCAGCUACCAGUCGCCAACCUGCAAUGCCCGCGUGAGGAGGCUGGAAAUGGCACAAUUGCAAAAAAUCAUCCCCUUCGAUAUCUUCAAGGAGCACUGUGUACCAGAUUCCAGGUUUGCGAGGGCUAGUGUGCAGGCCCCACGCACCCCCAAUUCAAACAAACUGCUUCUGCCCACUGGAACUGUUGAAUGAUUCUUUCUCAGCAGAGAGGAUUCUUACAGUUUGGUGAGCCUAACCUGAUUCGCCAUGUCUUUCUUACCUGCCCAAUCUACCUUCUCAAACUAGCGUGUGAGAUUAGGGAGGAGAAGGGGCUGAUGCCCUGUGACCGUCAAGGCUGCCUGCUCUAGGGAGCCGGCCCAAGAGGUCCCACCACAAACACUGGGCUUAGGGGACUUCUUCCUGCCUCAGAACUUUAGCCUGUCGCUCCUUUGGCCCCCGCAGAGUUCCUUUGGGUUUUCCAGAACUGGGAAUCCGAAUGAACACCUCAUGUGUCAAAAUCCCAACCUCAUCCCUUAAUGUUAAAAUCUGUGCUUUCAAACAAGACACUUCCCCUUUCCGAAGCUUAUUUUUCUAAUAAUGAGGAAAGGGGACAAUAAUUCCCACCGCAGCAUUGUUGUAAGUAUUGGUCUUAGACCAGCUCCUUUAAGAGUUUGCAGCAGAACAGAUCGGGGGUGAGGGUUGUGUAGGGUCCCCCAGAUCCCCGUCUGUGCUUUCUUUCUGUGUCCUGACCACUCUGUGACCCAGCCAGUUGCAGGGUUUUCCCAGCAGUCUUGAACCCAAACUGAGGUCUUGAACAUUCUCAGACACUGAUAAAAGGAUCUAGGGUGUUGCCCAAAACACUGAAAGAAACUGGCCCCGGCCCUGAGCCACAUUCCUAAACCCUCAUAUAAACUCCAUACCCUGACUUCCUAAUUCAGAACAUAGGUAGAAAACUCCUUUUCUCUCGCUGUCUUUCUCAAACAUUGCUGCAGCACUGCUAUGUAAGUCAGUCUAAUAAAUGGUUUGGACUGAU